GUCCUAGCUGUAACGAUGCACAUUAGACGUGAGGGUAUCGACCCCUUCGUGUCGACGCUAACGCAUUAAAUGUGCCGCCUGGGAGUACGGCCGCAAGGUUGAAACUCAAAGGAAUUGACGGGCCCGCACAAGCGGUGGAGCAUGUGGUUUAAUUCGACGCAACGCGAAGAACCUUACCUGGGCUUGAACUGUCGGAAGUAGUCUUUAUGAAAGUAGAGACGGACCGUUAAGUCGGUAACCGAUAGAGGUGCUGCAUGGCUGUCGU
rnacentral:rRNA from 1 species